rnacentral:rRNA from 1 species
GACGAACGCUGGCGGCGUGCUUAACACAUGCAAGUCGAACGGUGAAGCGCCUUCCUUUUUGGUGGGUGUGGAUGAGUGGCGAACGGGUGAGUAACACGUGAGUAACCUGCCCCCUUCUUCUGGAUAACCGCAUGAAAGUGUGGCUAAUACGGGAUAUUCUGGGUCUGUCGCAUGAUGGGUCUGGGAAAGAUAUUGUUUCGGUGGGGGAUGGGCUCGCGGCCUAUCAGCUUGUUGGUGGGGUGAUGGCCUACCAAGGCGGUGACGGGUAGCCGGCCUGAGAGGGUGGACGGUCACACUGGGACUGAGGCACGGCCCAGACUCCUACGGGAGGCAGCAGUGGGGAAUAUUGCACAAUGGGCGCAAGCCUGAUGCAGCGACGCCGCGUGAGGGAUGGAGGCCGUCGGGUUGUGAACCUCUUUCGCCAGUGAAGCAGGCCUGCCUCGUUUGUGGGUGGGUUGACGGUAGCUGGAUAAGAAGCGCCGGCUAACUACGUG